AACGCACAUUGCGCCCGCCAGUAUUCUGGCGGGCAUGCCUGUUCGAGCGUCAUUUCAACCCUCAAGCCCAGCUUGGUGUUGGGGCAUUGCGGCUCGUCCGCAAGCCCUGAAAAUCAGUGGCGGGCUCGCCGUAACUCCGAGCGCAGUAGUUCAUUCUCGCUCUGGAAGAGUGGCGGGUGCCGGCCGUUAAACCCCUAAAUUUCUAAAGGUUGACCUCGGAUCAGGUAGGAAUACCCGCUGAACUUAA
rnacentral:misc_RNA from 1 species